rnacentral:lncRNA from 1 species
GUCAUUUUUGGGUACUUCAGCCUUUGCCAUUCAUAAGCCAUAUGCAAUAAUUAAGCAGAUAAAGGAAUGUGAAUACAUAGUUUUCUUGUUUUAGCCUUUUCUCCAAGUCAUUUUCAAAUUGUGACCACCAUUUAUUAAUGCACUGCUCUUCGUCCUCCUGAGAAGAUCUAGCUGAAAGAAGCUCCCAAUCUCAGACUAGUUCUCUCCCUCCAAAAUGGAAAGAAGACCAACUUCUCCGACGACUGCUAUUCUUGUUUACAUUGCAGUUUUCGUGGUUGCUGCUUAUUGUUCUUCAUCUAUAACAGCUGAAAGAAGUUCCCAAUCUUAGACUAGUUCUCACCCUCCACAAUUUCGACAUAAUGUGGUCCGAGGACCAUUUCAAAACCUCUGCAGAUGGGCAGAUCUAGUACCUCUCCCUUGACAAUAAUGCAGGGUACAGGAUUCAAAUGAAACAUAUGUAUUGAUUUGGUUGGUUUAGCAUGAAGCUCAAGUUGGUUGGAGGUGACUCUACUGACGUUGUGACAGCUUACUAUAAAGAGUGAUCCCAAGAAUUGAGCUGGUGCGGUUAGCAUCAUGGUGUUUGCAGUAUGAACCUCAUGAGAGGCGAAAUGCCAAGUCUAUUGUGACUGCCCUUGUUCUUCUUCAAAAGGAAACUUCGUUGAAGAGAAAAUAUAUUAUAUCGGCUUUUGUUUCAUGUAUAGGUAGCUAGGAAUGAUUUCUUAUUUGGUAGAUUAUAUAUCUUGAAUGUAUGGAUGUUUGAAAAAUGGUGAUUGAAUGAUAUGGAUUAGAG